rnacentral:rRNA from 1 species
AGGAUGAACGCUGGCGGCGUGCCUAACACAUGCAAGUCGAACGUCCUGUCUCGCAAGAGGCAGGGAGUGGCGGACGGGUGAGUACCACGUGGGUCAUCUACCGUGAGGUGAGGAAUACCGGCGAGAAAUCGCCGACAAGACCGCAUAGGCUCGAUGCAAGUCGAGCAAAGCUCUUUCGAGAGAGGGAGCGCCACACGAGGAGCCUGCGCCCGAUUAGCUAGCUGGUGGAGUAACGGUUCACCAGGGCGACGAUCGGUAGCUGGUCUGAGAGGACGAUCAGCCACACUGGGAUUGAGAACGGCCCAGACUCCUACGGGGGGCAGCAGUGAGGAAUUUUCGUCAAUGGGGGCAACCCUGAACGAGCAACGCCGCGUGCAGGAAGAAGGUUUUCGGAUCGUAAACUGCUUUUCGUCGGGAAGAGAACGGACGGUACCCGAGGAAUCAGCCCCGGCUAACUACGUGCCAGCAGCCGCGGU